GCAUCCGUAGCUCAGCUGGAUAGAGUAGUCGGCUGCGAACCGAGCGGUCGGAGGUUCGAAUCCUCCCGGAUGCA
rnacentral:tRNA from 1 species